UAGCAAGUCUUUUUUUGUUAGAUGUCAUCACACAGGGACAGCUGUUUUAGCUUCUUAAUUAACUCCGGCUUACCGUUGAAAUUAGCUCUUGUUCCUUCUGAGCGCUAGAUCAUUGCCUGGACGCAUUCCCGGAUGACCGCAGAUGCCGGACGUUCGUUGGGGGAUAAUCCACAUAUAAAGAAGUGGUGACUGCCCGGAGCUAACCACAUCAGAUUUUCUUAGUGUCAUGCCUAUCAGAAAACCAGAGAGGCUCAGCUGGGGCUGGAAAUCCAAGAUGGCUUCACUCCCGUGUCAGGCACCUCGGCUGGGAUGUCUGAAACAGCUACCACCUGGCCAGCGAUCUCUCUCUUUCCAUGAGGUCACUCCGUCAGGGUGGCCAGCAGGGCCAGCUUCAUAGUGCCCCUCCCUGCCCUCAGCUCUGUGGUUCCGAUUCCUGAUCGUUUGCACCAUUUUUGGCAAGACACUCCAGAGGAUGAAUUACUGGUACAGCAAAACAUGCCACCCGCAUCUACCCCAGUCCCCACUCUUCUUCAGGAUGCGAUAAGCUCCAGGUCCUCCUUCAUAUCCUGCACGUCCCCGUCAUCUCCCCUCCUGGGGAUGGUCCUGCCAGCUCAGUGGUUUUCCUUGAGGAACUACCAGUCCCUCUAUUGUUAGCCAUGUGGGCUGAGUUGAUGUUGACCUCACUACCAGUGUGAAGGGAGAACCCUCGUGAGUGUGAGCCACUCCGAUCAGAGUGAACCCAAGGAAUUCCACUGGGAAUUCUGGAACGCAGAACGUCUCUUCUUUAUGAAGGUUGGUGGUGCGAGGUUGUAAAGCUCAGGACUGCCUUCGCCCUGAUUAAUGAGCCUGGAAUUUCCACGGACCACUGCUGAAAGCCUGAGGAUGGAGCCAACCAAAAGGAAGCAGAGAUGAAAAAUGGACCCAGGACAUAGUGCGUGGGUCUUGAAUCAAGCUGCGUCUGAACCAAUGCUACCUCUGGAUUCUUCCGUUAAGUGAGCCACUGAACUCUACACCCUCUUUAAAAACACCAAAUUGAAUUUGGUUUUUUGGUCCCUUACAAAAGAUUGCCAACUGAGGACUACCCGUAGGCUAGGGCUUCCCAAGUGGUGUGCCAUGGUGCACUGUGGGCUGGGUUACAGAUAUUACUUAGGGUUGCUUGCCCCAGCCCUUAGGGAGGGAUUCAGGGCAGCCAGAGCUCCAAGGCUGGUCAUCUCUAGCAGCAAGUAUCUUAGUCCGUUUAUCCCAGUGAGACAACAAAUACAAAAUUUUAAUGUGUUUCAUUAUGGUGAUUUUAAAAUAUGUUAAAAAAUUAUUUAACAUUCCUCCAUCCAAUAUGUAGAGCCUAACUCCCCUUGAAUGUGGACUGGACUUGGUAACUUGCUUCUAAGAAACAGAAUAUAGCAGGCAUGAGGGAGCAUGACUUCUGAGGCUAGGUCAUAAACAACACUGCCAUCUUUGUCUUGUUUCUCUUGAAUCGCCCACCCUAGGGGAAGUCAGUGGUCAUGCCGUGGAUGCUCAUGCAGUCUGGGGAGAGAGUCACAUGAAGAGGAACUGAGGCCUCUCCCCAUCAAGACUAGCACCAACUCUCCAAUGUUAUGAAUGAGCCACCUUGUAAUAGGAUCCUCCAGUUUCAGUCAAGGCUUCAGAUGAUGGCAGCUGUGGCCAACAUCUUGCAAGACUUCAAGUCAGACUGCUCAUCUAACCCACCCUCGAAUUCGUAAUCCACAGGAACUGGGCGAGAUAUUUGGUUGUUUUAAGCUAAGUUUGGGGGUUGUUAUUCCUCCAUAGAUAGCAUUUACACCCAUGAUGUGAAAAAGAUUGGGAAGCAUUGCCUGAAGUCUAAAGAAAGAAUACCCUGGAUACUGUGGACAUACCCAGCAUUCUGGAAUAUAUUAGAACCUUUAGGGUUUUUUGCAAAAUGAUACUUAAUCAAUAACAGCUUUACAACAUUUGAGAUAACAAAGGAAUGCUCCCUGUCUUUGAGAACAUACCUGCAACCACAAUUACCAAUGCUGGCUCAAAAAGUUUUUCGUUUUAAAACAAAUCUAUUGUCGUGGAAAGGACUCCUUACGGAAUAGAAUUAUGGCGUUUAAGACAAUGUGAAGCAUGACAAACUUAAUCAGGUCUAUGCAGUAUAUUCAUGUUUCAUGUUCCUGAAAUUCUUAAGAUGGUGACAGUUGCACACUUGACCUUGUUGAAGGAGAAGAGGCAUGAAGCUAAUCAGAAGAUUUUUCCAGGAAGCUUUCAUAGGGGGGUUUUCCCAAGUAACAUCAAGAUGGUUCCCAUGGCAUAUCAGGGUUCUCUCAUUUUUGGAAAACAAAAGGCCUAAUUUGCUUUAUUCUUCAGAAUGUUUAAAAUGCUUCUUUCUCAACCCCAUAUUUAGACUACAUGGUCAGAGGACCAAUGUCCAAAUUCUUUAAUGCCGUUAUUUAAAUAAGUGCAGCAACGCCUCCACUUUAUUUAUAACUGUUACUUAAAGAACAACUAAACUAUCUGGAAUUGAGAAAAGAGCCAGGGUUAGCUCAGAAAGAGUAUGAGCACACAAAACCCCUAUGAGAAGGCCACACUCCCCAACUCCACGAGAGUCACUUCUAGGUAAGUCCACAGGCUCUCAAUCACAAUUCUGUCACUCUCACUCUGGACGCUAUUCCCACUACUUUUGUUAUCCUGAGCCUACAGAUCAGAGGCAUCAAGUUAUAAAAGUUGGAAGCUUCUAGAAUUGCACCAUCCAAUACAGUAGCCACUAGCCACAUGUGGCAAUUAAGCACUUGAAAUGUGGCUGGUCUUAAUUGAUAAGUGUAAAGUAUACAAUCUGUAAUUGUAAGAUACAUACAUACAGAUUUCGAAGACAGUAUGAAAAAAAGAAUGUAAAAUACCUCAAUAAUUUUUUAUAUUGAUCACAUGUUGAAAUAAUAUUUUGUAUAUAUCGAGUUGAACAGAAUAUAUUACUAGAAUUCAUUUCACCUAUUUUUAUGAUUCUUUUUAAUGUGGCUAUUAGAAAAUUUAAAAUGAUAUAUGUGGCCUGCAUUAUAUUUCUGUUGGACAGUGCUGUUCUAGAAGCAGGUCUACUCCCACUCAUUCAUUCAUUUAGUCAUUCGACAAACAUUUAUUGUCUUCUGUGUGCUGAGCACUGGGCUAGGGGAUGGGAAUGCAGCGGUAAACAGUUCCUGCACUUGUGAAGCAAGAGGUACCCACUGUGGCACAAGAGAGAGUAAAUUUAGCACCUAAUCCUUAUUGUUUUAGUGCAGAAUGUAAUAGGGAUUGAUAAUAAUGGGCAUCUUUGAGUUACUUAGAGAAGGUUACUUCCACAAGGACUGUCCCAGUCUGCUGUGUGUUAUGGCUACAGACAUAUUGAUGCU
rnacentral:lncRNA from 1 species